rnacentral:lncRNA from 1 species
AAUUCCUCACGAGCCCCUCCUUGGGGUCAGCUCCUCCUAGACCAGGCCCAGCAGGCAGGGCUGCAGGAGGGGCUCACACUCCCAAGAGGCUCCGGGUCGUGUAGGGACAUCUUCCAACACAUAACCCAAACGCCGACGCCGACACCGAGGGCAGUUUCAGGGAGCAGAGGCGCUCACCACAGGACAACAGUCAAGAGGCAAGAGGCGGCAGCAAGGGGUACAGCCGGGGACCUGGGUGGCCGUUUGAAGGGGUCUUCCCCCUCCUCAGACCCACUGCCCGCUCCCGGCCCUCCUUUCCCGCGCAUACAUCUCCCAAACAUGGGCCCCUCCAGCCCCGACUUCUGGGUGAACCCCAGAUUCGGAGAGCACUAGGGCAGGUGUACCAUGGGGGGCUUUUUGGGAACCGGUUUUCCCCGGCUCCCGGCUCCCGUUGGAACUUCCAGAGCGCCGCGCCCCGGGACCCUGGAAGCCCGCCCGUCCCCGCCCCCCGCGGCCGCGACCUCAGCGCUCCCGGUGCGGUUCCCGGAAACUCCUCGAUUUCCCUGUGGCCUCCGCUUUUGCAAGAAACCGAAACCCAAGCCCCGCCCCUCCGGCGCGGCCUCGCGGGACCCGGCUGCUCUCAGCAGGGGGGCGGUGGAGCGCAGCGGCAGUGACCUAACGGGGCCUCGCCUGCAGCUUGGGAGGCGGCUCGCGGUGUACUGGCCACAUGGGGUGCGGAGUGUGGGGGCCCAGGAGCGUUUACAAAGAGCUGCCCCCUGCCCACCCCGCGUUGCUAGUUUCGCGGCGGCGGCGUGUCUUGGGCGCAGAGGUGUCUGGCGACCUGCCCGGGGUCACACAGCCUGCAGCUGGAGGCCGCGCACGCCCUGGCCGCAGCGGGAGGCGGGGCGCCCAGGCCACCCGCAGGGCGAGCCUCGUGCACCCCAACUCUCCCAAGUCUGAUUUCUGAGAGCAUUUCCUGUUCCGCACACACGUCAGUCAGCAGAUGAUCUGCCUGGAGGUUACC